GACGAACGCUGGCGGCGUGCCUAAUACAUGCAAGUAGAACGCAGUUGCGAACGGGUGAGUAACGCGUAGGUAACUGCCUCAUAGCGGGGGAUAACUAUUGGAAACGAGAGCUAAUACCGCAUAAUGUUAGAUUGACCUGCGGUGUAUUAGCUAGUUGGUGAGGUAAAGGCACACCAAGGCGACGUGACAAUGCCGACCCGAGAGGGUUAUAGGGCAAACUGGGACGUAGAAACGGCACAGAAUCCCUCCGGAGGCAGCAGUAGGGAAUCGUUGGCAAUUGGCGGAAGGCUGACCGAGCAAGGACCCGUUAGUGAAUAAGGUUUUCGGAACGUAAAGCUCUGUUGAUUGGGAAACGGUAACUAACCAGAAAGGGACGGCUAACUACGUGCCAGCAGCCGCGGUAAUAC
rnacentral:rRNA from 1 species